UUCCUUACAGUCCCCUCUAAAGCAAUUAUUCUGUUCAAAAGAGGAUUUGUUUGUGAUAUUCCUUUAAGAAUCUUUAUUUAUUCCCCCAACAGUUUCUUUUUCUGCAUCCGCUGCUCUGUUAAGUGAUCACCACAUUCAUUGUUCUCGUUUCUAUUAUUUCUGAAAAAAAUCUUCAGGAUUCUGCUUGUGGGAGUGGAUGACAUUUUUACAGUGUUUACAGCUUUAUCUAUUCCAGAAUGUCAUAUAGCUGGUAUAAGAAAGAACACUAAUCAUUCCUAAGGAAGAAAAUUAACAACGCCGUGAGUUAUAAUAUCUGGCUGAAACUGAAGGAGCUCUGUGUAAUUAAAAGUCCUUUCUGCCCUGCCUGGCCAUGGUUCUGUAUGCAUUGAUGUCUUACAAACUGAAAAAAAAAAAA
rnacentral:lncRNA from 1 species